AACGAACGCUAGCGGCAGGCUUAAUACAUGCAAGUCGAACGCCCCCUUCGGGGGGAGUGGCAGACGGGUGAGUAACGCGUGGGAACGUGCCCAAAGGUAGGGAACAACUCCGGGAAACUGGAGCUAAUACCCUAUGUGCCCGAGAGGGGAAAGAUUUAUCGCCUUUGGAUCGGCCCGCGUCAGAUUAGCUAGUUGGUGGGGUAAAAGCCUACCAAGGCGACGAUCUGUAGCUGUUCUGAGAGGAAGAUCAGCCACACUGGGACUGAGACACGGCCCAGACUCCUACGGGAGGCAGCAGUAGGGAAUCUUGGACAAUGGGCGCAAGCCUGAUCCAGCCAUGCCGCGUGAGUGACGAAGGCCUUAGGGUUGUAAAACUCUUUCGCACGUGACGAUAAUGACGGUAACGUGAGAAGAAGCUCCGGCUAACUUCGUGCCAGCAGCCGCCGUAAAAC
rnacentral:rRNA from 1 species